rnacentral:rRNA from 1 species
UACGUAGGGCGCAAGCGUUGUCCGGAAUUAUUGGGCGUAAAGAGCUCGUAGGCGGCUUGUCACGUCGGGUGUGAAAGCCCGGGGCUUAACCCCGGGUCUGCAUUCGAUACGGGCUAGCUAGAGUGUGGUAGGGGAGAUCGGAAUUCCUGGUGUAGCGGUGAAAUGCGCAGAUAUCAGGAGGAACACCGGUGGCGAAGGCGGAUCUCUGGGCCAUUACUGACGCCGAGGAGCGAAAGCAUGGGGAGCGAACGGG